rnacentral:rRNA from 1 species
CCCUUAGAUGUUCUGGGCAGCACGCGCGCUACAAUGGUCUUCGCAAACGGAUGCAUUCUCGAAGGAGAAUGCCAAUCUUGGAAUGUAUGCCUUGGUCGGGACAGUUGCUUGCAAUUUUUCGACUCGAACCAGGAAUUCCUUGUAAUCGUGAUUCAUCACAUCACGAUGAAUACGUCCCUGCCCUUUGUACACACCGCCCGUCGCUCCUACCGAUCGAAGAGUUAGGUGAAUUGUUUUGAUCGAUAAGAUUUGACUAUGGUCAACUCUCGUUGUGAAAUUCUGUGAAUCUGACUGUUUAGAGGAAGGAAAAGUCGUAACA